rnacentral:lncRNA from 1 species
UAAUUUUUUUAAAAGGAAACUAACCCUAGAAUUACCUAAUCUAAUAUAUGUUUUCAAACAUACAAUUAAACAUCUUAUAUAUAGAUGAAUUAAUAUUAUUUGAUUGGUUGAUGGUUUAAAUUUUUUUAUUUAUUUAAUUAAAGUUUUUAAAAGUAAACUAAUCCUAGAAUUACAUAAUCUAAUAUAUGUUUUCAAACAUACAAUUAAACAUCUAAAAUAGAGAUGAAUUAAUAUAAUUUAUUAAUGGUGAAAGAUUAAAAGCUUCUACACCCAUGUCUGAGGUUCGAAUCUCAAACUAUACAAUCUAUUGCAGAAUAAAGGAAAUCAAGGUUAAAAGUCCCUGAAAGAGCAAUUUAUUUCUAUAGACUACGGAAGAAAUGCUUACAAGGGAUCUUCAACAUGGUGCAAGUAAAUCCAGUCAGGCGUGGAUCUUCGUAGGACGGCUC